UGCAAGUCGAGCGGACAGAAGGGAGCUUGCUCCCGGAUGUUAGCGGCGGACGGGUGAGUAACACGUGGGUAACCUGCCUGUAAGACUGGGAUAACUCCGGGAAACCGGAGCUAAUACCGGAUAGUUCCUUGAACCGCAUGGUUCAAGGAUGAAAGACGGUUUCGGCUGUCACUUACAGAUGGACCCGCGGCGCAUUAGCUAGUUGGUGGGGUAAUGGCUCACCAAGGCGACGAUGCGUAGCCGACCUGAGAGGGUGAUCGGCCACACUGGGACUGAGACACGGCCCAGACUCCUACGGGAGGCAGCAGUAGGGAAUCUUCCGCAAUGGACGAAAGUCUGACGGAGCAACGCCGCGUGGGUGAUGAAGGUUUUCGGAUCGUAAAGCUCUGUUGUUAGGGAAGAACAAGUGCGAGAGUAACUGCUCGCACCUUGACGGUACCUAACCAGAAAGCCACGGCUAACUACGUGCCAGCAGCCGCGGUAAUACGUAGGUGGCAAGCGUUGUCCGGAAUUAUUGGGCGUAAAGGGCUCGCAGGCGGUUUCUUAAGUCUGAUGUGAAAGCCCCCGGCUCAACCGGGGAGGGUCAUUGGAAACUGGGAAACUUGAGUGCAGAAGA
rnacentral:rRNA from 1 species